CUGUGCUUCCACCUGGCGUUCAGUACCUCGUGCCCGAGAGCGGAAAAGGGAAAUCGCGAGCGGAGGACCGAUGUGCUGGCCACGUGGGCCCCGCCGGGCCGACUCCGGACCCUGCUGCCGCCCAUUCCUCCGGUGCAAGGGACCUGGAAGUGAUCCCGGUGCCGCUCUGCUCCCACCAGCUAGGGAGCAGAGGCGCGGGAGGGAAGGGGCGUCCCGGGGGUCGCCAGCACGCUGCGGGCAGGGCUGGCAGCCGCCUCCACGCCCCCGCGCUGGAAGCCUCGUCUUUGUAACAUCGAGGUAUCCUGUAACUAGAUGGGUCCUGGCCUGCGGAGGUAGUUUCCCCUGUGAAGCCAGGGACUCAGCCAGGAGCGUGAGGGGACCCGGAUCCUGAGUCUCCAAGCCGCCCACUACCCUCUGCUUUACCGGAUGGAACUCAUCAGUAACUAGGUAUCUUUAAGGGCGGCUCCCUGGCGCGCUCUGAGAGUUACGGAAGUCCCAAAAUGCUUUGACCGAAAACGUCUAAACAGUGAAUACAUAAAGCAAAAAGCCGCGUGGGAAAUUCGAGUCCCUAGGAGCGCCCAGGGGACGCCUCUGGAGGUGGACUGCCACUCACUCCAGGCCACGCUGGAAUGCCCGCACCAGGGAGGCACUGCACUUGAAUUGGGGACACUUUUUUUUUUUUUUUUCAUUUUUACCUUUCAUUCCCUUUUGGACAAUCCAGACAGGAUAUGUCUCUCCCUAGGGUGGGGAUUUCGACUCCUUAGGGUGGGAGUACAGCCGAUGAAGAGUUAAGGAGAGGAGUGGGUAGAUCUAGAUCUAGCCUUGGGUGGGUGGGGGCGGGGUUGGAGGAGCUCAGAGCACUGGCCCAGCGCUGCCCCCAACUUGCUGUGUGCUCUUGGACAAGUUAUCUCCCUUCUCUGGGCUUCAGAUAACCCAAGGAUCCUUACAUAUCUUUAUAGCUACAAAGCCCUGUGAGGUUUUGAAAAACUUCCUUGGUACCCAAAACCAGGUCUGAGGCACAGUCAGUGAAUACCUGUUUAAUGAAUGCAUGCAUAAAUGAAUGAAUGGAUGAUCCAGCUCUUCCUGGAGCAGGCACGACUUCCACAGAAACAGAGCAAACGCUAGCCGUAAGCAGAAGUGAGUCUUCUUCCUAUGUGAAGGGAUGUGGGGGUGGUACGCCCCUAUCAACUUUAUCUUUACAUAGUCCUUGAGCGCCCACCGGGCACCGUGUUCCCCGGACUAGAGGGAGGGAGAGGGGGGUUAGCUCCACCCUUAACAAGCUUAAUUCUUGAUGAGAUUAACCAUCAAAACCCAUCAGAGAACGUUAUAGCUCCAGCGCUGAAUGAGACAUCUUUGAUUCUGUGGUGAUGCGGACUUUGUGCCUCUCUGUGAGGAAUCACUUUGUUCCAAUGACGCAAUUUUCCUCACACUCCGGAAGUGUCCUGCACUGCCAGAAUCGCCCAGCUUCCCGGCACACCUAUCAACCAGUCGUUCCCAGCACUGCCCAGUAUGCAGCCUCCAGGCAGAGGGCCUGGAUGUCUUGGCAGGUAGGGUUCCCCUAGCAGCCUGGGGGUGGUCAGAUAGAAACAUUAACUGGAACGUAGAGGCCAGUUCUUGGCUCAGGGAGCCAGGAGGGCUCUGACUGUUGCACAUACAAGCCACUCACACUGCUAUCGCCCACAUACCUUCCUCUCCCGCCAGCCCACCCCAAAGCCCAAACUCCUGCCCGCAUGCUGGGAAGGUGAGCCCUUGCCUGGAGAGCCCAGCAGGGGAAAUAGAAGGAGGGAAGGAGGCCUGCUCCUUCCCCGGAGCUCUGCUCUGCGGCUGCAGGAAGACCCGCAGAGGCCCUGGGCAGCAGAACUGUGGACAGCAAGGCUGGAGUUGUGAAACCCAACCACUCAGCUGGAUUCCAGAAGCUCAGGUGGUGGUGACUAAACCUGGCCUUACUUAAAAUGCAUGACUUUAUUGUCU
rnacentral:lncRNA from 1 species